CUUAACUACUUACAGGUACCUUGGCAUAAUAGCAAAUCAUGGCUAUGAAUAUAAAACUCCCAAAGGACUGUUCCCGUCGAGUCAUCUUCAGUGGUCCUUGCUUGUGACACUGUGUUGUGUAUUACUUAGUCUUGGAUUCUUCGGAAGAUGCCAGAACUGAAAGCAAAAUUACUGCUUUUAUGAUACUGAAAGAACAAAGGUCACCAGAACAGAGAAAUGGAAAAAAGAGUUUUGGGCAAACACCUAGAAAUGGGGCAAAUAGACCAGCGCAGG